rnacentral:rRNA from 1 species
CUGGGCGUAAAGGGUGCGUAGGCGGUCUUUCAAGUCAGGAGUGAAAGGCUACGGCUCAACCGUAGUAAGCUCUUGAAAGUGGGAGACUAGAGUGCGGGACAACAGAGUGUACUUCCUACCCUAGCGCUGAAAUGCGUAGAUAAUAGGAGGAACACCAGUUGCGAAGGCGUCACUCUGGACUGUAACUGACGCCGACACCCGACAGCAUGCACAGCGAACCGGAUUAGAUACCGUGGGAAACCACGCUGUACCACAUGAUUACUCUGGGUCUGAGCUUACCCCCCUCGGGCCAGCACGUCACUCAUGACGUACUGGGCCUGUGA